rnacentral:rRNA from 1 species
GACGAACGCUGGCGGCGUGCUUAACACAUGCAAGUCGAACGGAAAGGCCCUGCUUUUGUGGGGUGCUCGAGUGGCGAACGGGUGAGUAACACGUGAGUAACCUGCCCUUGACUUUGGGAUAACUUCAGGAAACUGGGGCUAAUACCGGAUAGGAGCUCCUGCUGCAUGGUGGGGGUUGGAAAGUUUCGGCGGUUGGGGAUGGACUCGCGGCUUAUCAGCUUGUUGGUGGGGUAGUGGCUUACCAAGGCUUUGACGGGUAGCCGGCCUGAGAGGGUGACCGGCCACAUUGGGACUGAGAUACGGACCAGACUCCUACGGGAGGCAGCAGUGGAGAAUAUUGCACAAUGGGCGGAAGCCUGAUGCAGCAACGUCGCGUGCGGGAUGACGGCCUUCGGGUUGUAAACCGCUUUCGCCUGUGACGAAGCGUGAGUGACGGUAAUGGGUAAAGAAGCACCGGCUAACUACGUG